UCUCAUUGGUCUGAAACCAAUGAUGUGCAUUUCAAUGAUCAUGAGUUUGAGGUGGACGAGGAUGGUGAGGGUAUCGUCGAUGCACCGAAAGGAAGAGCGGGCAACUACACCAUGGACGAAGAAAUCUUGCUAUGCAAUACAUGGUUGCAAGUGUCUAGGGAUCCCACCGUUGGAGGGGACCAAAGUAGAUAUGCAUAUUGGCUCCGGAUGAAGAAGCACUUUGAUUUACACAACAAAAGUGGAAUUGACCGCACGGAAAGAUCUCUUCGCUCCCAGUGGUCGACAAUCAACAAAGAUUGUCAAAGGUGGGUGGCCGCACUUAAGGCGGUUGACACU
rnacentral:rRNA from 1 species